UCGGACGGGCCUGCGCACUGGGAGAAUGGGGUGGAGCCACGGAAGUUCGCGCCAUUUGCAGAGGGGAGGAGCCCAGCCUCUUGCGUUCCUGUGUGAUGGGGCCGGAGCCAGUAAACAGGCUUCCUUCUCGCUCUGCUGGUAUAAGAAGAAGAAGUAGGAGAAACAAAAUAAGGAGGAGAAGAAGUAAAAUAAUUUGAGAAGGAAU
rnacentral:lncRNA from 10 species